CCGCGGCUUCCCCUGGACGGGAAUCAGAAAGGCCGCAAGCUCCGCAUUCACUCCUGCUGCCUCUUGGGACAAGGGGCAUUUCCAAACCACUGACGCAGGCAGCUGUGGUGACAGGUGAAACAAGAACUCCACUCCUCCUGCUAUUCGUGAGGGCUUUACCUCUGACGUAACUUUCCAGCCGUCAGGUUUCCCCCUGCUGUUCUGUUCUGAACCAAAACGAAAAAUGCCCAUUCUUCACUUCUCCCGAGAUUUUCAACAUUUCACAGAAGUGUGGAAGUAACCCCUGGCCUGGCCUUGAGAGUGGGAUAAAUGACCCCAGGAACGAGGCUGACAAAGAGGAAGCUUCUUUCUGUGCCCUUUGCAGGUCGCAGCUAAUGUACAUUCCUGCUGUGGAGUAAAACCCUCCCUAAGAAAUAAACCCACUUCACACCA